UGGCUAUACCACCCUGCAUGUGUCCUAUCUUAUUUGAUCUCAGAAGCUAAGUGGGGUCAGAACUGAUUAAUAUUGUUGGAUGGGAAACAGCCUGGGAAUAAUGUCAGUGCCA
rnacentral:rRNA from 1 species